rnacentral:rRNA from 1 species
UACGUAGGGGGCAAGCGUUGUCCGGAAUCAUUGGGCGUAAAGCGCGUGUAGGCGGCCUUGUAAGUCCGUUCUGAAAGCCCGGGGCUCAACCCCGGGAGGCGGAUGGAUACUGCAAGGCUCGAGUACGGAAGAGGCGAGUGGAAUUCCCGGUGUAGCGGUGAAAUGCGUAGAUAUCAGGAGGAACACCGGUGGUGUAAACGGCUUUCUGGACCA